rnacentral:rRNA from 1 species
CCUACGGGGGGCAGCAGUGAGGAAUAUUGGUCAAUGGACGAGAGUCUGAACCAGCCAAGUAGCGUGAAGGAUGACUGCCCUAUGGGUUGUAAACUUCUUUUAUAAAGGAAUAAAACGAGGCACGUGUGCCUUUUUGCAUGUACUUUAUGAAUAAGGAUCGGCUAACUCCGUGCCAGCAGCCGCGGUAAUACGGAGGAUCCGAGCGUUAUCCGGAUUUAUUGGGUUUAAAGGGAGCGUAGAUGGGUUGUUAAGUCAGUUGUGAAAGUUUGCGGCUCAACCGUAAAAUUGCAAUUGAUACUGGCAGUCUAGAGUACAGUUGAGGUAAGCGGAAUUCGUGGUGUAGCGGUGAAAUGCUUAGAUAUCACGAAGAACCCCGAUUGCGAAGGCAGCUUACUAACCUGUGACUGACAUUGAUGCUCGAAAGUGUGGGUAUCAAACAGGAUUAGAUACCCCAGUAGUC